CUUGGCGACCAUAGCGUUGUGGACCCACCUGAUUCCAUGCCGAACUCAGAAGUGAAACGCAGUAGCGCCGAUGGUAGUGUGGGGCGUUGUGGACCCACCUGAUUCCAUGCCGAACUCAAAGUGAAACGCAAUAGCGCCGAUGGUAGUGUGGGGCUUCCCCAUGUGAGAGUAGGACAUCGCCAGGC
rnacentral:rRNA from 1 species